GUUGGCCGAAUCAGAAAGCUCUGUUCACCUGAGGCUCCUGCUUCUCAAUGUCUUUUUCUGGAAACUGGGAUAGAGAUUGUAUUUUUUGGUUGUUUUAUUUCGAAGAUCCAGGAAAUCAUGCAUGGAUACAGUGAUGUCAAGGGCUACUACUGCCCUACAUAUCUACUGAAGAUGUCAUCAGACAACGAUCCUGACCUCAUCUGGCUGAUAUUGAGAGAUAACGUGCCAACUGAGGAGCCUGAGGUAGGCAGUGUGGAAGGCACCGCAGCUGCUGAGGUGUUGACUCACUGCCUGAAGAACUGUCCUAGAAGGUUGCAUGGAAGGUCUCGGGAUGUCUUUGUCCCACCAUUAUUGAGGCAGUCACCAGCAGGUUUAAUACAGACUCUUGAUUUGUACUUUGGUUGUGCUGAGUGGUCUCUGGGUUUUUUUGCCCCAUUACAAAGGAAGCAAGUUUAAUGUCCGUCACGAGGGGGCUAGUCAACUAAAACAGGGCAAACAUCUCUGCUAGAGAAAACUGUGAACCUUCAAAUGAUAAGUUUGUCCCAAGAUGGAAAAAAGUGAGGAAUAUUGUUCGUGGAGAUUGCUUUCUGCUGUUAAAUUGACAGGAUAGAAUCACAAGGAAAACACAUUUUGGGCAAGUCUGUGAGAGACAUGCUAGAAUAAGUUGACUGGCCAGGCAUGGUGGCACAU
rnacentral:sRNA from 1 species